AUCAAUGUCUUGUAAUUGGAAUGAGUAGAAUUUAAAUCCCUUUAUGAGUAUCGAUUGGAGGGCAAGUCUGGUGCCAGCAGCCGCGGUAAUUCCAGCUCCAAUAGCGUAUAUUAAAGUUGUUGCGGUUAAAAAGCUCGUAGUUGGAUUUCUGUUGAGGACGAUCGGUCCGCCUCCUGGGUGAGUAUCUGGCUCGGCCUUGGCAUCUUCUUGGAGCGCGUACUGCACUUCAUUGUGUGGUGCGAAAUCCAGGACCUUUACUUUGAGGAAAUUAGAGUGUUUCAAGCAGGCGCACGCCUUGAAUACAUUAGCAUGGAAUAAUAAGAUAGGACCUCGGUUCUAUUUUGUUGGUUUCUAGAGCUGAGGUAAUGAUUAAUAGGGAUAGUUGGGGGCAUUCGUAUUUA
rnacentral:rRNA from 1 species